rnacentral:rRNA from 1 species
CCCCUAGAUGUUCUGAGCCGCACGCGCGCUACACUGAACAGUUCAACAAGUCUUAACCUUGGCCGAUAGGUCUGGGUAAUCUUUGAACGCUGUUCGUGACUGGGAUAGACCUUUGCAAUUAUGGGUCUUCAACGAGGAAUUCCUAGUAAACGCAAGUCAUCAGCUUGCAUUGAUUACGUCCCUGCCCUUUGUACACACCGCCCGUCGCACCUACCGAUUGAAUGGUCCGGUGAAAUCUCGGGACGGCGGCUUGGUCGCUUGCGUCCGACUGCUGAAACUUGAUUAAACCAUAUCAUUUAGAGGAAGGUGAAGUCGUAACA